UGUCACAGGUUAAAAAACAUAAGGACAUUUCUCUUGGGGGAUGGAUGCUUCUGGCUAUAGGCCAGUACGGGGACCCAUGGCUAAUUGAACACAUUAAUGUGAUCUGUGAGGAAGCGGCUUUCCAAACAAAGGGGAAAUCGAGGGCUGGAAACUCUGCAGGUCUGGUUUCAAGGCUCACCUGUUCCAAAGGUGUAAAGUAACACUUCCGAAUAGGUUGAUUGAACAUAAAGUACUGCAGCUGCUGAAAAUCUGAAAUUUAGAAGCAAAUUAAGUGCUGGAGGUCUGUUUCCAAGAAAUAUUAACUCAACUUCUCUCUCCACGGAUACUGCCAAGCUUGAGUAAAAAUGUAUGGCUCUUUCUGUCUCUCCCUAAAAAGCUGUUCAGGUGGAUUGAAGCCUACCCUACUACUAACACUACUGCUGAGGCUGUGGUGAAGAUUUUGCUUAAGGAAAGAUACUUGAACUAAAAGGAGAGACGUGUGGGGGAUCGCCUACUUACUGACCUGUUUGAUCAUAUAUGACAUCCUGAUGGAGAAAGCCAUUAAGUAUUAAUGUGAUCUGGAACAGUUCAAGACUAUUCACCACCUAUGCCGAGGAGAUGUCAUCCAGUGCACCGGACCAGACUGCUUCGACGUGUAGGGCAUGACAAAGAGUGAUUAUUGCAAUGGACUUUUACAUCUGAAAGACUGUAUGGUCCAUCUGGACAGUAAAAAUCUGUGGAAAUUACCAUGUCGUACCAAACCUGUCUUUUUGAUUUUACCUGCAGACGUAAGCCUAGUGAGGAUAGAAAUGAUCAACCCCGUUACUAUGGUAAAUGUUUUAAGGAGGCUGGGAGCACUAUCCCUUUUUGCAGGAGGGGCCUACUCGAGAAAAGAGAAGCCUGAUGGGGAAACUCCUCAAUCCACAAACAACUUAUUUAUAUCGGCCCACUGGACUCUCUUCACCCCAGAGUCAGUAUUAUGUUGCUCCUCUCUAUCAGUAGAUUACUUACUUACCCCAUCCCCAAUCUGUUCAGCAGACGCUCUACUGCCAAUCCUCCGAAGAGCAAUAUCACUUUCCAAUACCGUAUUAGUCCUCCUGCCACCUGUUUGCGGACUUCUUUUAACUCAACUGCAGGAUUGUAUGAGAAUUUUUCUUAAUGGAACUGGCUAUGGGUGUGCAAUUGUUCAUUUUCCACAUAAUAUCUCCUGCCUACUUGAGACUUAUCGUGUAAGACAAUGGGGCCUUAUACCUCCUGCCCGGGUGUACAAACAGCUUGCAUUCCACUGGCUGGAAGACAACAGGCCCUAUGCAGCAUAAGUAACUACAGGUAUACCCAUCUCCACGUACAGACCCGGAAUGGAACUCUUCCCUACUGCGUUCAAAGUU